rnacentral:lncRNA from 1 species
AUCCGUCACCUGACACGGCCCUACCAGGAACAGCCGCGCUCCCGCGGAUUCUGGUGCUGCUCGCGUCCCCGCUCCCCUAUUCCCCUUAUUUUAUUCCUGGCUCCCCUCGUCGAAAGUCUUCCAUUCUUCAAACUAGAUUAUUUAAAAAUGAAAAAGGAAGAAAGGAAAGCGAGGUCAUCUCAUUGCUCUAUCCGCCAAUCAGGAGGCUGAAUGUCAGUUUUGAACUAAAAGCCGCUCCGCUCCUCUUCUAGAUUUGGAAAACAAGCGAAAUUAAACUAAACCGCUGCACGCCUCUGACGCGACAUCUGGACACGGCGCGGCGCUGGCGCUGCCGGAGCUGUCGACCCGGCCUGGCGCCGGACUAGUGUCCCUUUUGAUGAGAAGAAUAAGCCUCAUUCUGAUUCAACAGCAGAGAUCAAAGAAAAGACUUCUGUUUUCUGGCCACCAGAUAUAUGUUAUCUGUGCUUAAAGAAUUGAAAAACACACAUCAAAGGAGAAUUUUCUUGGAAAGAGAGGGUUCAAGCAUCACUGUUAGGUGUGCUGGAAUCCUUUCCCGAGUCAGUACUGCUUUCUAGAAGAAAACCGGGGAGAUCUAUUUGGAAUGUAUCUAACUCCAAAGAAACCAUCAGAGGUAACAGUAUCUUACAGACAGCAAGUUGAACAUUGUGGGAUGCAUGAGCUAUUGAGGCCUUUGCAGCUUUCUGCUACAUGGAGGCUAGGGCCAGAGUCAAGAUUUAUGCUUUGCAGCACACUGGUCAGCUGUUUUUGCAAAUCAGAUUAAAUGAUUUUUAAAUGAGGCUGAGAGCAUGGGAGAUACUAAUGUGUGUUUCCUUGUGAGCUACUGCAUAAGUUAGGAAAUUGAAAUACAGAAAGAUGAAAAGUGAUUUGCCCAAGCAUAUAGAUCAAAGCUGUGGCAGA